GGGCUGAGGAAACGCCGCAGGUGCAUCCGGCGGCGGGGGGGGAGAAGCGGCGGCCGAAGGGCGGCGGCACCUGCACUCACCAUCGGUAGCAACCCUCGCUGGCCUCCAGCGUGAAGUUGACGCGGGUGCCGCGGGUGAAGGGCAGCAGCACCUUGGGAGUGUUGAGCUUGGAGGAGGCGGGAAAAAAAAUGUUAGGCAGACCCAAGUGCAGAGAAAGGUGAAGAAGUCAAGAGAAGGAACUUGGUGGUAGAUGAACUGCACAAACAGGGUGAAGACCACAAGCAGCUUUGGUCUGACCCACUGGAGCUCCUCCAGGAACACAUUUGCUGUCUGGUUCCGUCCUUGUAGCUGCAGAGCCUCGCAAAAUAUCUCCACCAAAGAGACAUCAGUCAAAGAAGUAUUUGAAGUAGUCCAGCACAUGAAAAGACAGGACAGAAGCGUUACCUCUGCCUGGGCACCUGGAGAUCGUGCAGCCACUGCACACGCGAAAAUCUCCUGUACAGGUGUGAGCAGAGUAAAUCUGACUGUACCAUCUGGGCCAAUGAACAUCUACAUUGCCAUGGUGGACAUCUGGAGAAGAAUGAGGAUACGCUGAAUGCUGCUCUACCCUGGUAUUAGGAUAUGCUGAAUGCUGUUCUACCCUGGCAUGACCACUGAAAGUACAGUCUGAUCCUGUUACCGUGACCUUCACUGAGGUUUAAGUGCCUAAUUUAUCUUCGAGAUUUAGUCUUAGUUUCUGAAGUUGGCGAUCCAGGUGACUAAAUGUGAGCGGGUACCUAAUGAUGCAGGUAGCAUCCAAUGGAACUUAAAGGACAGAAUGCUCCCAUUUUUUGUUAAACUUUAGCAGAAUUUUCUCAGCAUCACACAUUAGGAAUCUGUAUCUGCCUUCAGGUGUUUAGUAAAAUCUAACCUAAGGAAAGGAGUCUGCUUUGAUUAGAACUUACAUUGAAAGCUUUAGUAAGAAAAAGCACAUUUCCCAAAGACCUUUAUGGCUACCUAGGAAAAGGCCUAUUAGCUCAGUAACACAGGUUAUUAAAAUGCUGAUAAUUCAAAUGCAUUAUUACACCUGUAUAUGCUUUGUUCUCUCAAAAUGUUCACGAAUGAAAGAGGUUUAUUUCAAACCACAUGAAUAUGCAUUUGUAUUUUCUGUAUUAUUCUUCCAGCUCUUCUCUGGUACAAAGUUCAAACAAGAGGAUUCGUACUUGGAAGACACCAAUCAGAGUAUUUUAAAGCUGCUGUAUAGAUUACACACUUUUUAAUAUGCUGAAAUAUAAUAGUUUAAAAAAUAACUCUAGAUCUUCUGCUGGUGUUUAUACAACAUCUAAUUAUAACAGUAAGAACACUAAGAAACAGCCAUUUUUUUGUGUGGCUUGGUGAUGUUUCUUCUGAAUACACUUUUUGCUUACAGAAAUGUCCGCUACAGAUACUGUAGCCAAGUGUCAGAGAAAUGUGGGAAAUUUUCUGAUAUCUAGAAAAAAACUAAAUGACUUUGACAAGGAAGCAUGUCCUGCCAACAUGUCUACAGCUAUAGCAGCCAUCAGUUUUGUUAAUUUGCUUCAUCUUUUACUUUAGGCUUCUAUUAGCUAUGAAUUCUCUACCUUGUCCUCUCUGGAUCAAAUACCUAAACAAGUUUUGACAUCCCAAGGAUAUUCUGGCCAGGGCAAUUUUAAAAAUUGCAUAGGGGAAAAAAAUCUUGAAGUACUGCUUGAUAGCUCAAUGAUUCCGUAAGCAGCAAGUGGAACAGCUAUACAGAGGUGAUAGUUCCUCUCUUUUAAAUUUGCUUUGGUUUUCUCUUAAGUAACCUGUUUUUUCACAAGUCCCAGAAAAGUCAGUGGAAAUUGCAGGCGCUUGUAUUCGCAGAGUUUUUGGUGGUUGGUUUUUGGCUUUGUUUUUAUUUCCUCUCCAGAUUAGGGAUAAAUCACAAGCAAUCCUGAUUUUCACUGUCACCACUGCUGUUCUUAUGUAGUGCAUUUAAUUCAUUAGGCUGUCAGUUUUCAAUUCAGUAGGAGGUUAAUAUUAGUAUGUCUCAAGGAUCUGUACUGUAGUUAGUAUUUAAUACACUCAUUAAUUUUCCAGAAAGGCAGAAAUGAGGGCUAGAACAAAGAAAAAUGAGGUCAGCAGGAUUUGCAGAUGACAAAAUUAUUUAAUGCAAGUCUUGGUAAAAGAAGGCUGUGAUGAACUUCAGGGAAACUGGACUAGACAAAUUGGCAGUCUAAUGGUUGAUGAAAUUCAGACGUUGACAAAUGCAGGGUAGAAAACUUUAGAAUGAAAAAUCGGAGCUGUUUGUACACCUGGCCCCGUUGUAACUUACCACUAACUGCUCAGGGAAAGCGAGCGCCCAGCACAAUUUAAAGCUCUUCUCAAUGCCCAUCACUUGCAGUCUAAAUAAGGUGUUGUAAUACAAAAAUAUGGCAUAGAAAAGACCCACAAUAUGGUGGAAAGUCUUAGUUCCAGUUUUACUUUAAACUUUCCAAUAAGCUAGGGUCAUUCCAUCUCCUGGGAAAUGUAGCAGGAGAGGGCCGUGUCGCUAAUCGUUCCUAAAUCCACCUCCAAUUCUGGUUGGUUUCUGAUGCAAGAGGCUGGAAGCCCAUUGUUGUAACACCUGCUGGGUUGUGCAGGACUCUGUGGAGAUCGUUUGCCUCCCUUUGCUUUUCAUCGCCAAGCUCAGUGCCAGCUGGUGGUGUUCUCCUGAAUGUCCUUCUCUCCAUUUAUCAGGAGGAAAUCUCUCUACAAGCUGGUAUCACUCUACUCCUCUGGCUUUAUGAUCACCCUGAGGACACCAACAUCAAUCUUCUUUAUUUCUCCUAACUAGCUGGCAUCUUGAUUACACCAUUUUUUAUGUUCUUGAUGAAUGUUUCCUCUUGAGAUCCAGGAGGCACAUUUGUAUUCUCCUUUUUUCCCCAUUUGCUUUUCUUAGUGGUUUUGGUUCCUUUUGAGUAAGUUCUCACUACCUCAGAUCAGUUCUGUGCAUGACAAGCAUAUUAAUUGUGGGAGACAAAGAGCCAUACAAGUUCAUUAGCGUUACACGUGCUGAGCUGAGAGCCAAAGUGAGUUACACUAGAAACAACAGUAAUCCUACAAGACUUGAUAUUUUCGAUACAUUAACUCUGCUCCAGUGUGAAAGUGCAAUUUUAAACCUUUUCCCCAGUGGAAUUGCCAAACAGUCCUUUAGUUGUGGUGGCAACCCAGAACUGAAAACACAGAAGGGUCUUUGUCAACAAGUUUUCAUGCAAUUUAAACAUUUUUGUUCAUUUUUAGUAACAGUGGACCGACAGUUUUUCUUACUUUUCCCAAGUAAGAGGUCUGCAAUAAGUUCUGUGAAACACAUUAAUAGAAUCAGAAGAAUCGCCAUAUAGCUCAGUAUUGGCUUAUGACUGAUCCCACACCCCUGGCCUUCAGCUUCAACACCCUUGGAAGCACAAAGAAGGUGCCUCCCCAAGGUUUAGUUGUUGUGACAGUUUAAAUGAAUCAGACAUCCUGCAGCUGUCCAGCUGGGCUUCUAUGGACAGUGGCUUCCAAUUUGGGUUAGUUUUGCGCUGCAGAGAGGGGAAUAUUGUAUUUUAUAAGGAGGGUAACCCAUUCACCAUUUAGUUUUGUUUUCUUUUCCACAAAAUGCCAUUGUUUAAUUCUGCAAACAUUCAAAUAACCCAGUAAUAGCUUGCAAGAAGACAGGCUGUUACAAAGCACACAGCAAGGUCAGAUAAAAAUAUGCUAAAAAUUACAUUUUAAAAAACUCCCAAAACAACCACACUGAAACGUUAGGUAAUACCAGAGCAGGAUUGCUUGAUCAAACAUAGCGUACCUCUUUUUGUCCACACGUAAGGUUGUGUAAUCUUUAAUUACCUCUUCAAAGAGUCUGGUAUCUGGCCAUUCAGCAGAUCCCCUGCUCUGCUCAAGGGCACAGAAAGGAUGGCACUGAACUCUUUUGUUUUCUCCUCGUUAUUCAAGUGUUCGCCCUGAAGCUUUAUCUACUGCGCAUGAUUCAAACCAUGCUCUAGAGGACAAUAAUUUAUUUCCAUUUCUGUCACAUCCACCCAUCCAAGAGCCACCACUAGUAAACAGAUCGCGACAUUUUUGCAAGCCAAAAGAGUUUUAUUAGUCAUAAUUAUAGGAGUAGUAGCAUUAAUAGUACUAAAUACACCGGUGGACAGCUGAGCGCAGAUGCACAAUUCACAAGUAACUACUCAUUCAAAAUAGCCUGGUUUAGGGCCAUACUCAAGGAUUUCUGACACUGAAAUGUUUAGAUUUUAAUUUUGUUAAUUUUACGUAUAAAUGAUUCUGUAAUUCCAAUGUCAGGCACCCCCUAACCAUGACAAUAUUAGUGAGCAUCUGUGACAAGCUCCAGCCCUAAUUAGUAAGAACUCGGUUUCACAGGCAAGGUUGAUACCACUCUCAAUGGGUAAAGGCCAGUACCAAUAAAUUUCACUGCUUUGGUUCACCUUACUCAGUCAUAACAGUUUUUGGCAUAGAUGCAAAGUUGCAAAUUCCCAGGGGCUGUGCAAAGUCCCAAAUAGGAGAUUUUGUCUCUGUCAUAGUAGCCAAUAUAACCCAAAGACACAUGGAUUAAACAAACACAAAUAUUUUUCAUUGAGGCACUAGAAAAAACCAGGCUGGCCUGGCAGAAUUUACCUUGAAGUUAAUCUUGUAUUUCAUAAUCAAUUAAGAGUUAAAUGUGAGCGAGCAGCAAAUGCUCUCCCAAGUGUCACUGAUUAGAGAGAAGGGCUGAGCCUGCAGAAAUAAGCCUGUGACACGCAGCAGGGAGAUGAAUCACCUUACCUGUUGUUUGGGUGAUUUUUUCCCAGCUUUUCUGGCACUGAGAGAAAUCAGAAAAGUUUCCACCCCCUCCUGCUGCUUUAAAUCAGCACAACCCCCGAAUCAGGAUGAUAUAAGCUGCAAUUAAUGCAGAACUAAUACAAGAGUUGGUGUAAUCACAGUAGCUUAAUGAGAAGGGUGCUAAUUACUGGUCAUUGACAUACCUCAGCUGAUGAGCAGCUUUUUCCUCUUCGAAAUGAAGGGGGUUUAUUACUAUCAUAUGGUGUGAUCGGCAUGUCUUUGUCCAAAUAACUUCCUGUGAAAGAAAAAUAAGAAAUGAGCUGCUCCUUCCACAUUAAGAGGAGUUUUGCUGAGAUAGUUGAAAACCAUGGUUUUGUUUUGCUCUGAUUGUGUCAUUCAGAUGGAAGAUGGUGAGGAAAACACAAGAGGUCAUCUUCUGAAAUUCUCCUUCUCUGUGUGGACAUUAUGAAGGAUCCCUGGCUCUGAUGCUUUCUAAAAAACAAGCAUUUCUUACACUGAGAUUGCAUCAGGGUGCACUAUCUUUGUUCCCAUGUUACUUAUACUAUCUACUUAUAUAUGCAUAUGUCUAUACAGAUAUCUCUUAUGGUUCUGGUGGACAGCAGGAUGACCAUGAGCCAGCACUGGGCCCUUGUGGCCAGGAAGGCCAAUGGUACCUGGGGUGGGUUAGAAGGGAGUGGUCAGUAGGUCAGAGAGGUUCUCCUGCCCCUCUGCUCUGCCCUGGGGAGACCACACCUGGAAUAUUGUGUCCAGUUGUGGCCCCUCAGUUCCAGCAGGACAGGGAACUGCUGGAGAGAGUCCAGCGCAGCCACCAAGAUGCUGAAGGGAGUGGAGCAUCUCCCGUGUGAGGAAAGGCUGAGGGAGCUGGGGCUCUGGAGCUGGACAAGAGGAGACUGAGGGGGGACUCAUUCCUGGGGAUCAAUAUGGAAAGGGGGAGUGUCAGGAGGAUGGAGCCAGGCUCUUCUGGUGACAACCAGUGACAGGACAAGGGGCAAUGGGUGCAAACUGGAACACAGGAGGUUCCGCUUAAAGGUGAGAAGAAACGUUCCUGGUGAGGGUGGCAGAGCCUGGCCCAGGCUGCCCAGGGAGGUUGUGGAGUCUCCUUCUGUGCAGACAUUCCAACCCGCCUGGACACCUUCCUGUGUAACCUCAUCUGGGUGUUCCUGCUCCAUGGGGGGAUUGCACUGGGUGAGCUUUCCAGGGCCCUUCCAACCCCUGACAUCCUGUGAUUCCGUGAUUCUUUACCAGUGGGAAUUUUUAUUGCAGUACAACUAAGAAAUGUUACAUUGUUUUACAGCAAAUAAACAUGGAUCACGUCCCAGAUGUGGGAGUGUGAUGUGGUAAUACAGGUCCCAACGAGACAAACCCCAGAGUAGUGCUGUAGCUGCACAGAGCCAAUGCAGGCUCUCCUUUGGCACUUUAUUUUCUUCUUGAUGAGGUUUAUCUUCACUUCAUAGAUUUCUGCCUUCCUUAAGAGUUUCCUGGGUACAAAGCAAAGCAAGCACUGUUGCAGAAUCCCUCUAAUUUUUGUGGGUAGUAUAUGCAUUUCUGGAUCAGUAGUAAUUAAAUCAAUUUUUCAAAAAUGACUGAAAUAUUGAUUUAAAAAUACCACAGGGAAGUUCUGCGGGGAAUUCGAUCACCAUGACUUGAAGGAGGGUUCUUCACCCUUUAAAAAUAAACACAUAUAUGUAUGCCACUUUUUGUUUUGUAUUUAGUGUUUUGUGUACUGGUUUAGUUCCUUCCUUCAAUAACCAGUUUGGCUGAAUGCAGUGGUGCGGGGCGCUUAUCUCAGAAGCUGCUGUGACCUUAUUCAACUACAUUUUGCCGUAUCUGUGUUGUUGCGAUGGUUACAUCAUCGUCAUUCAGCAAUGGAAACAUCUGUUUGGUGAUGCCAGACAGAAGGAGCUGGCUGGUACAGGCUGCCUGUGUGCUAAAACAAGCGAUGCAAAACAGCGCUAUUAAUUCGUGAUGCCCAGUACCGUUCGAGUGCCAGUUAUCUGAUAAUUCACCUCUAAGUUGUGCCGUGAUAUCUGAGGACAAAUAAAAUGUCCAGUGUAGUUACCGCAAGACGUCCCUGUCUAAACGUGUAAACAUCUCGUGGUGCCGGUGCGAAGUUUCAGCUGAAGGUCUUUGACUCUGAAGGAGAUUUUCUGAAUAGUUCUGAGCUUAUCAAACCCACAGAGCCUGGACUAAAGCCAGGAUGUUUAGUCACGGCUCACACUGUUGUGGUUCCUUUGCUUUUCUUGGCUGUGCUCAGGUGAAUAUUGAUAUUGAAAUUCCUUCAGGAGAUCCCUUGUGGCAUUGUUGUUGCAAUUUAUGAAUCUAAAGCUAGCACACGAAUAUGAAAAUGUUGAAAAGGAAGAAUGGAUUUGGACAUAUUUCAAGUAUGUUUUGUGUUGUGGCAAUUUUUUUUUCAAUGAGCCCCCGACUUCUCUUGGGACACCAAAGUGUUCCCAGUUGUUGCAAAUGCUGAUUUUCUGCUGGUAGCAGAAAACGCACGCCCUGGGGAUGCUUUAUGUGCUUGGCUUUAACCUGGAACAAAGGAAUAGUUAAAGAUGAUUGUCCUCUAUAUUUAAACCAGAUUUCUAUAUUAACUUAUCUUUUUAGAGAAGAUUCUUUCAAGGGAACUUGAACUUUCACGUGUGUGUUUUGCAGCAUAAGCUUGAAUGUCCUUCCUUAUUGUACGGCCCUUUUUCUAAAUAACGUUGCCAUGCCAAGAGAUGUGUCCUGUGUAAGGGACGCAUCAAUGAUUCUGAUGAAUCUUUUCUCAUGGGGCUGUUGGACUGGGCAUUUUAGUCCCCUCCUAGCCUUUAUCCCUGUGGGAAUCCCCCUUUCUACUUAUAUCUUUAGACAUAUUCUGUAAAACUGCAUUUCCUUUCCCACCUCUAAUUUGAUUAAGUACCAAGCCUAAUUACUAGGAAAUUGUUACAAUUGUUCCAUUGAAAACUGUAGCAAUUGUUACCUUGUUAAUGGGAAAGGUGCCUCAGGCCAUCAGAAACAAAAAGAUGUCCUGAAAUAUGGGAUUUCGUCUUUUCCUGGUAGUAUACUGAGUACCUGUGGUCUGAAUGUAUUUCUACUGAAUGUCCCUGGAAAACACAGGGAGACAUUUGUGAUUGACUUUGCUGCUUUCUUGAGUAUUAUAAGCAGACUAAAUAUCAGUUUUAUUAUCAAAGCACUUAAAAAUCAGAACAGAGCAAAUGUCAACUAAACGUGCUCAGCCGAACAUGCCAAUUAUUAGAUGAAAACAGUUUUUUGUGAGUCUGGUUGUUCUUAGGACUGAAUAUUAUGAAAACUGUAUGUGUUAUAUACACCCCUGUUUAUUUUGAGAGGUAACAAAGUACUAGACUUCAGGUGGUCUCUGUAAUUUGCAAUGAAUUUACAAAAUUCUAUGCCGUACAUAAAUAUGCUUUGGGAGAAUGGCUACAAAUCAACUGGAGCACAAAUCUGAGGUAUUAGAGAGUGUGUUAUUAAUUAAUUGUGUGUCUCUCCUGUGCUCAUGUUUACCCGGUUAAGAAGCAUCUCUGGAGGGACCCGCAAAAUUAAACACUUCUUUGAAAACUCUUCUUGCUUCAGAAAACUCCUCUUUGUACCCUACACCGUCUUCUCCAUUUUGCCAUUAACUUGCAGAUAUUUGCAGUGUUUGAGAGUAAAUGAAGUCUUGUGGCUUCCUCCACUGGUCAUUGGCACAAGGCAUUAAGCUGAGUCCCUCUAGUGAGUUUGAAAAGGCCAUUUAAAGUCUGGUUUAGAGAAACCCUUGCUGAGAUCUGUAUAAUCUGAAUUCUGUUGCAAUAGCCUACAUGUCUCAUUCUGAAAAUCACAUGACACUGAAAGCACAAAGCAGCGGUUAGUGGUAUCAAGCUCUAUUGUUUUAAAAACUGAGAAAUUCAGUGAGAUGUAAGUCAGUGAGGGAGAAGGACUUGGGUUAAUAAGAGUGAAGAUCAGACUGUGAGGAGAAUAAUGAUUUCUUUAGGAAUAUUCAGGCCUUGCAUUUCCAGCUGCUCUGAGCAACAGCAAGGGAAGAAAACUGUACCAGUUUCUGAGCUCCAAAAAGCACAGACCUUUUCCUGCUCUGCUGGAGCACAGGAAUCGAUAAUUUCACAUUUUCUACACACCACGAAAGUAAAAGCCUGAUCUCAGUCAUGUCACCACAGGGCAGAUCAAAGCCCUCAGGAUCAAAGAGAUUAAAGCAGCACAGGCUCUCAAAGUAUUGUUUUCUGAUUGAAAACCACUAAUUAAAAUUUAUGUAGAAGUUCAUGUAAUGAGUUACCAUUAAACAUUUUUACAGGAAAAGUCAGUCCCAAUAUAAAUUAAAAAAUCCCUUUUCUAUAUCCCUUUAACAGCAUUUCACCCCUGAUUUUAUCUGUAGCACAUUUCUUCAUGUUAUCUGUUUCAAAACCUCCAAGUCAAGGUAGUUUGAAGGGAAAUUAUUUGUGACGUGGCUCUUAUUUCAGUCCUGAGCGUGUCUUGCCCUUUCAGGAAGGAUAUUUUGCACCUCAUGAGUGAAACAAAUGAGCUGAUUGGACUGGAUGGUCUUUCCAGGUCCCUUCCAAUCCCUAACAUUCUGUGAUUCUGUAUGAUUU